rnacentral:rRNA from 1 species
CAAUAGCGGAGGAAAAGAAACCAACCGGGAUUGCCUUAGUAACGGCGAGUGAAGCGGCAAAAGCUCAAAUUUGAAAUCUGGUACCUUCGGUGCCCGAGUUGUAAUUUGGAGAGGGCAACUUUGGGGCCGUUCCUUGUCUAUGUUCCUUGGAACAGGACGUCAUAGAGGGUGAGAAUCCCGUGUGGCGAGGAGUGCGGUUCUUUGUAAAGUGCCUUCGAAGAGUCGAGUUGUUUGGGAAUGCAGCUCUAAGUGGGUGGUAAAUUCCAUCUAAAGCUAAAUAUUGGCGAGAGACCGAUAGCGAACAAGUACAGUGAUGGAAAGAUGAAAAGAACUUUGAAAAGAGAGUGAAAAAGUACGUGAAAUUGUUGAAAGGGAAGGGCAUUUGAUCAGACAUGGUGUUUUGUGCCCUCUGCUCCUUGUGGGUAGGGGAAUCUCGCAUUUCACUGGGCCAGCAUCAGUUUUGGUGGCAGGAUAAAUCCAUAGGAAUGUAGCUUGCCUCGGUAAGUAUUAUAGCCUGUGGGAAUACUGCCAGCUGGGACUGAGGACUGCGACGUAAGUCAAGGAUGCUGGCAUAAUGGUUAUAUGCCGCCCGUCUUGACCC